rnacentral:piRNA from 1 species
UUCGAGGAAAAUAACGAAGGCUUCAGU